rnacentral:misc_RNA from 1 species
GAUGAAGAACGUAGCGAAAUGCGAUAAGUAGUGUGAAUUGCAGAAUUCAGUGAAUCAUCGAAUCUUUGAACGCACAUUGCGCCCCUUGGUAUUCCAUGGGGCAUGCCUGUUCGAGCGUCAUUUGUACCUUCAAGCUUUGCUUGGUGUUGGGUGUUUGUCUCGCCUUUGCGUGUAGACUCGCCUUAAAAUAAUUGGCAGCCGGCGUAUUGAUUUCGGAGCGCAGUACAUCUCGCGCUUUGCACUCAUAACGACAGCGUCCAAAAGUACAUUUUACACUCUUGACCUCGGAUCAGGUAGGGAUACCCGCUGAACUUAAGCAUAUCAAUAAGCGGAAGGA